rnacentral:rRNA from 1 species
GGUUGAUCCUGCCAGUAGUCAUAUGCUUGUCUCAAAGAUUAAGCCAUGCAUGUCUAAGUAUAAGCUUUUAUACGGCGAGACUGCGGAUGGCUCAUUAAAUCAGUUAUAGUUUAUUUGAUGGUUCCUUUAUUUACUACUUGGAUAACCGUAGUAAUUCUAGAGCUAAUACAUGCCCAAACUCCCGACUGGGAGUCGCAAGACUCUCUGGAAGGGACGUAUUUAUUAGAUAAAAAACCGAUGCAGGGUGGUUCACGCUGCCCUGGACCCAACGGUGAUUCAUAAUAACUCAAUCG